rnacentral:rRNA from 1 species
AUACGGAGGAUGCAAGCGUUAUCCGGAUUUAUUGGGUUUAAAGGGUGCGUAGGCGGUUUGCUAAGCGGGAGGUGAAAUGCCGGCGCUCAACGUCGGAAGUGCCUCCCGAACUGGUCGACUUGAAUGACUCUGCCGUGGGAGGAAUGUGUAGUGUAGCGGUGAAAUGCUUAGAGAUUACACAGAACACCGAUUGCGAAGGCAUCUCACGAAGGGUUGAUUGACGCUGAGGCACGAAAGCGUGGGGAUCAAACAGGAUUAGAUACCCUGGUAGUCCACGCAGUAAACGAUGAUGGCUAACCGCUGGGCUUAUCAGUUCAGUGGCCAAGCGAAAGCGAUAAGCCAUCCACCUGGGGAGUACGACCGCAAGGUUGAAACUCAAAUGAAUUGACGGGG